rfam:Myotis brandtii contig152970, whole genome shotgun sequence.
GGUGGUUCUCGGGUGACACACCCUGGAAUCUGGCUCCAUCCUCUCUGGUUUCAGGUGCAUCACCCAAGAACCUCC